rnacentral:rRNA from 1 species
UACGUAGGAGGCAAGCGUUGUCCGGAAUUACUGGGCGUAAAGCGUGCGCAGGCGGUGAUGUAAGACAGUUGUGAAAUCCCCGGGCUCAACCUGGGAACUGCAUCUGUGACUGCAUCGCUGGAGUGCGGCAGAGGGGGAUGGAAUUCCGCGUGUAGCAGUGAAAUGCGUAGAUAUGCGGAGGAACACCGAUGGCGAAGGCAAUCCCCUGGGCCUGCACUGACGCUCAUGCACGAAAGCGUGGGGAGCAAACAGG